rnacentral:lncRNA from 1 species
CACAACAAGCGAAAAACUCUAAGUUCGGUGCUCACACUUCUACUUUAGAAAGAAAUUGUUGAAACGAUCUUAUCAAACACUUCGGGUGGUUGCGGUAAUUUGGGUGCUUAACUAGGGAUGUCAACGGGCUGCAUUCGGGACGGGUUUUCAAAAAUCUGAAUUUGAAUUCGACGGAUUUUUAAAAUUCAUAUUCAAACCCGACCAAAUUUCUGAAACCCAAACCCAAAAACUUGAACUUUGAACAAUUAUUUCUCUUUACCAUAUUUCAAAAUAUUUUACAUCAAAUCUAAAUUUUCAAAACACAAAUUCAAAUAUGACAUCAACACAUAUAUAUAUAUAUAUAUAUAUAUAUAUANUUUUUAUAUAUAUAUAUAUAAUAUAAUGUAAAAUCAAUUCGGGCUCGGGUUAGGUACAGACAAAAUUCAUAUCCGAACUGAAUUCGUCGAGUUUUUAGCACCAUCUGAAACAAUAUUCGUUCAGCAUCGGGUAAAUCCAUCUCGUUCGGGUUCGGAUUCUAAUAAAAUUUCGGAUAUCCGUAUUCAUAGACAUCUCUAUGCUUGACGAAUAAUGCUAUUGGAGCGGGCCGGGCUCAGGUUCAAGAUUUAAAUCAAACCCGGCUCGGAACAGCACGGUCCGUAUUGUCGAACCAAGCCCAAGCUCACAAGUAAUUUGAGUUCUCAAAGAGCCCAGCCCAAAUAAACAUAGCUCAAACGCUAUUUAUAUCUAACUAAGUCUGGUAUGUUAUUAGGAGCACGGGAGCCUUCAUACUGGUAAGUUGUUUUUGAUAAUGGAGCUUCCGAAUCGACGAUAAGCUCUGUUAAACUUAAUCUAGAAUAUUUGAAGUACCUAAAAAUAAAUUUUAUAGUUUUUCGAUAUCUUUUACUUACUGAUUGAAAGGACUCAAAAUCAAUAGUUGAAAAUAAAAAUUUUAUAAAAAUUUAUGAUAUAAUACUAAAUUUUCGAUCAGAAAUAUUAAUCUUGAUAUAGAUAGUAUAAAAAAUUUUCUAUCAAAAUUUUAUCUGAUUUGAAUGCGUCUAUACCGUUAAACUUGCAAACAGCAUACACCAACUAUUAGAUAUUGUUGAUUUUGAAUCAUUUUGAUUAUUAGGUAAAUUAUAUCGAAAAAUUAUAAAAUUUAUUUUCUAAAUACUUCAUAUACGCUAGGUCAAAUUUAAUAGAGCCGAUCGUCGAUUUAGAAGUUAUAUCAUUAAAAACGACUUAGGAGUUACUAGAAAACUAUAACAUUGCAAAAUUUUACGGCACUUAAAUUAUCUAAAAACCAAAAUUUAUCAUUUUUUUUUGGAUGUUAUUUAUCGAAUGAAAAUAUCAUGUAUAAUAAGUUCGAAUUAAUUGGCUCCACUCUCCAAUGGCAAUGUGCAGUGCGGUAAAUUACGUUUUGUCGCCAAAUAUGACCAUAAUGCCCCUAGACAAUAGUUAUAUUCUCUCUCUCUCCUCUUUUAUUUUACGGAAAACUUCAGAAACCCUCCUGUAGUUGAGCACUUUUUUAUUUUAGUACCCUGUGGUUUAAAGUGUAUCAAUUUAGUACCCUGUGGUUUCUCACUUUAUUACUUUAGUACCCUGUGGUUUAAAGUGUAUCAAGUUAGUACUCUGUGGUUUUAUUUUUGUAUCAAAUUAGUACUCUAUGGUUUUAUUUUUGUAUCAAGUUAGUACCAUAUGAUUUUUAAACCACAGGAUACUAAAGUGAUAAAGUGCGAAACCACAGGGUACUAAAGUGAUAAAGUGCGAAACCACAUGGUACUAAUUUGAUACACUUUAAACCACAGGAUACUAAAGUGAAAAAAAGUGAAACCACAAGGGGCGUAUUUGAAGUUUUCCCCUAUUUUUACUAUUUUUUUUGUUGAUAAAACUGCAUGGAGAACUAGGGAUGCUGACGGGAGGGAAUCGGGGCGAAUUUUUAAAAAAUCCGAACCCGAUUCCAAAUCCGAAACUCGAAUCCGAAUCCAACUUGACGGAUUUUAAAAAUUCAUAUCCAAAUCUGAACCCUACCAAAAAUUCGAAAUUCGAACCCAAAAAUCCAAACGAGAAAUAAUUAUUUCUCUUUUUAAUAUUUCAAAAUAUAUUACAUUAAAUCUAAAUUUUUAAAAUAUAAAUUCAAAUAUAACAUCAAACUUUUAUAUAAAUAUUAUAUAUAACGUAAAAUAAAUUAGAGUUCAGGUCGGGUUCGGGUUUGGGUCGGGUGCAAUCAAAAUCUAUAUCUGAAUCCAUAUCUGGUGGAUUUUUGUUUUUGAUAUCCAUAUCUGAAACCAUAUUCGUUUAGCAUAGAAUAAAUUCACUCUGUUCGAAUUCAUAUUUGGAUAAAAUUUCAGAUAUCCGUAUCCAUUUAUAUCCCUAUGGAGAACAACUUUAUUUACAGGCUAUUUUGAAAUAUAGUCUAGUUAAGUAUAUUUUUUUUAGAUUGUUUCCACUUAAUUUUUUUAAAAAGCAUUUAAGUGAAGUUUGUUAAAUAAAUUAAAAAUGUUAAUUACUAAAUUUAUAG